ACGAACGCUGGCGGCAGGCUUAACACAUGCAAGUCGAGCGGACCCCUCGGGGUCAGCGGCAGACGGGUGAGUAACACGUGGGAAUCUACCCAUCUCUAGGGAAUAACUCAGGGAAACUUGUGCUAAUACCCUAUACGUCCUCCGGGGGAAAGAUUUAUCGGAGAUGGAUGAGCCCGCGUUGGAUUAGCUAGUUGGUGAGGUAAUGGCUCACCAAGGCGACGAUCCAUAGCUGGUCUGAGAGGAUGAUCAGCCACACUGGGACUGAGACACGGCCCAGACUCCUACGGGAGGCAGCAGUGGGGAAUAUUGGACAAUGGGCGCAAGCCUGAUCCAGCCAUGCCGCGUGAGUGAUGAAGGCCUUAGGGUUGUAAAGCUCUUUCACCGAUGAAGAUAAUGACGGUAGUCGGAGAAGAAGCCCCGGCUAACUUCGU
rnacentral:rRNA from 1 species